rnacentral:rRNA from 1 species
GCGGAAGAUGUAACGGGGCUAAACCAUGCACCGAAGCUGCGGCAGCGAACGUAUCACUUAAAGCGAUUCAGCGGGUUACGAUUGACGGAGCGAAGCGACGUCAAAGCGUAUACAAAGUCGAGUCGGUUUAAGGAUACGUUCGUUGGGUAGGGGAGCGUUCUGUAAGCCUGUGAAGGUGUGUCGUGAGGCAUGCUGGAGGUAUCAGAAGUGCGAAUGCUGACAUAAGUAACGAUAAAGCGGGUGAAAAGCCCGCUCGCCGGAAGACCAAGGGUUCCUGUCCAACGUUAAUCGGGGCAGGGUGAGUCGACCCCUAAGGCGAGGCCGAAAGGCGUAGUCGAUGGGAAACGGGUUAAUAUUCCCGUACUUGGUGUUACUGCGAAGGGGGGACGGAGAAGGCUAUGUUGGCCGGGCGACGGUUGUCCCGGUUUAAGCGUGUAGGUGUGUGUUCCAGGUAAAUCCGGUUCACUUUAACACUGAGGCGUGACGACGAGGCACUACGGUGCUGAAGCAACAAAUGCCCUGCUUCCAGGAAAAGCCUCUAAGCAUCAGGUAACAUCAAAUCGUACCCCAAACCGACACAGGUGGUCAGGUAGAGAAUACCAAGGCGCUUGAGAGAACUCGGGUGAAGGAACUAGGCAAAAUGGUGCCGUAACUUCGGGAGAAGGCACGCUGACACGUAGGUGAAGUGAUUUACUCAUGGAGCUGAAGUCAGUCGAAGAUACCAGCUGGCUGCAACUGUUUAUUAAAAACACAGCACUGUGCAAACACGAAAGUGGACGUAUACGGUGUGACGCCUGCCCGGUGCCGGAAGGUUAAUUGAUGGGGUCAGCGCAAGCGAAGCUCCUGAUCGAAGCCCCGGUAAACGGCGGCCGUAACUAUAACGGUCCUAAGGUAGCGAAAUUCCUUGUCGGGUAAGUUCCGACCUGCACGAAUGGCGUAAUGAUGGCCAGGCUGUCUCCACCCGAGACUCAGUGAAAUUGAACUCGCUGUGAAGAUGCAGUGUACCCGCGGCAAGACGGAAAGACCCCGUGAACCUUUACUAUAGCUUGACACUGAACAUUGAGCCUUGAUGUGUAG